rnacentral:rRNA from 1 species
GUGUCAGCCGCCGCGGUAAUACGAAGGGUGCAAGCGUUACUCGGAAUUACUGGGCGUAAAGCGUGCGUAGGUGGUGAGUUAAGUCUGAUGUGAAAUCCCCGGGCUCAACCUGGGAAUGGCAUUGGAUACUGGCUCGCUAGAGUGCGGUAGAGGGUGGUGGAAUUCCCGGUGUAGCAGUGAAAUGCGUAGAGAUCGGGAGGAACAUCUGUGGCGAAGGCGGCCACCUGGACCAACACUGACACUGAGGCACGAAAGCGUGGGGAGCAAACAGGAUUAGAUACCCUUGUAGUCC